UUGUCGGGUAAGUUCCGACCCGCACGAAAGGUGUAACGAUUUGGGCACUGUCUCAACCAGAGACUCGGUGAAAUUAUAGUACCUGUGAAGAUGCAGGUUACCCGCGACAGGACGGAAAGACCCCGUGGAGCUUUACUGUAGCCUGAUAUUGAAUUUUGGUACAGUUUGUACAGGAUAGGCGGGAGCCAUUGAAACCGGAGCGCUAGCUUCGGUGGAGGCGCUGGUGGGAUACCGCCCUGACUGUAUUGAAAUUCUAACCUACGGGUCUUAUCGACCCGGGAGACAGUGUCAGGUGGGCAGUUUGACUGGGGCGGUCGCCUCCUAAAGUGUAACGGAGGCGCCCAAAGGUUCCCUCAGAAUGGUUGGAAAUCAUUCGUAGAGUGCAAAGGCAUAAGGGAGCUUGACUGCGAGACCUACAAGUCGAGCAGGGACGAAAGUCGGGCUUAGUGAUCCGGUGGUUCCGCAUGGAAGGGCCAUCGCUCAACGGAUAAAAGCUACCCCGGGGAUAACAGGCUUAUCUCCCCCAAGAGUCCACAUCGACGGGGAGGUUUGGCACCUCGAUGUCGG
rnacentral:rRNA from 1 species